rnacentral:rRNA from 1 species
AUUGAACGCUGGCGGCAGGCCUAACACAUGCAAGUCGAACGCGGGGCGCACGGGUGUGUUAUGUCUGGGAAACUGCCCGAUGGAGGGGGAUCAACACUGGACACGGUAGCUAACACCGCAUACCCUCGGAAGCGCAUAGAUGGGAUUAUAUAGUAGGUGGGGUAACCGCUCACCUAGGCGACGCUCCCUAGCUGGUCUGAGAGGUUGACCAGUCACACUGGAACUGAGACACGGCCCAGACUCCUACGGUAGGCAGCAGUGGGGAAUAUUGCACAAUGGGCGCAAGCCUGAUGCAGCCAUGCCGCGUGUAUGAAGAAGGCCUUAGGGUUGUAAAGUACUUUCAGCGGGGAGGCGUUACCCGCAGAAGAAGCACCGGCUAACGCCGUGCCAGCAGCCGCGGUAAUAC